rnacentral:rRNA from 1 species
GCCGGUCGAAGAUACCAGGCCGCUGCGACUGUUUAUUAAAAACACAGCACUCUGCAAACACGAAAGUGGACGUAUAGGGUGUGACGCCUGCCCGGUGCCGGAAGGUUAAUUGAUGGGGUUAGCUAACGCGAAGCUCUUGAUCGAAGCCCCGGUAAACGGCGGCCGUAACAAUAACGGUCCUAAGGUAGCGAAAUUCCUUGUCGGGUAAGUUCCGACCUGCACGAAUGGCGUAACGAUGGCGGCGCUGUCUCCACCCGAGACUCAGUGAAAUUGAAAUCGCUGUGAAGAUGCAGUGUAUCCGCGGCUAGACGGAAAGACCCCGUGAACCUUUACUAUAGCUUUGCACUGGACUUUGAAUUUGCUUGUGUAGGAUAGGUGGGAGGCUUUGAAGCGUGGACGCCAGUUCGCGUGGAGCCAUCCUUGAAAUACCACCCUGGCAACUUUGAGGUUCUAACUCAGGUCCGUUAUCCGGAUCGAGGACAGUGUAUGGUGGGUAGUUUGACUGGGGCGGUCUCCUCCUAAAGAGUAACGGAGGAGUACGAAGGUGCGCUCAGACCGGUCGGAAAUCGGUCGUAGAGUAUAAAGGCAAAAGCGCGCUUGACUGCGAGACAGACACGUCGAGCAGGUACGAAAGUAGGUCUUAGUGAUCCGGUGGUUCUGUAUGGAAGGGCCAUCGCUCAACGGAUAAAAGGUACUCCGGGGAUAACAGGCUGAUACCGCCCAAGAGUUCAUAUCGACGGCGGUGUUUGGCACCUCGAUGUCGGCUCAUCUCAUCCUGGGGCUGUAGCCGGUCCCAAGGGUAUGGCUGUUCGCCAUUUAAAGAGGUACGUGAGCUGGGUUUAAAACGUCGUGAGACAGUUUGGUCCCUAUCUUCCGUGGGCGCUGCAAGAUUGAGAGAGCCUGCUCCUAGUACGAGAGG